GAAGUUGGCUCCAUGGUAAAGUGCUUGCCUUGCAUGCAAGAGCCUUGGGUUCAAUUCCUAAGUACCUCA
rnacentral:tRNA from 1 species